rnacentral:rRNA from 1 species
GAUGAACGCUGGCGGCGUGCUUAACACAUGCAAGUCGAACGAGGAAUUUCAAAUGAGACUUCGGUGGAUUUUGGAAUUCCGAGUGGCGGACGGGUGAGUAACGCGUGGGCAACCUGCCCUGUACAGGGGGACAACAGCUGGAAACGGCUGCUAAUACCGCAUAAGCGCACGGUAUCGCAUGAUACAGUGUGAAAAACUCCGGUGGUACAGGAUGGGCCCGCGUCUGAUUAGUUAGUUGGCGGUGUAACGGACCACCAGGACGACGAUCAGUAGCCGGCUUGAGAGAGUGAACGGCCACAUUGGGACUGAGACACGGCCCAAACUCCUACGGGAGGCAGCAGUGGGGAAUAUUGCACAAUGGGGGAAACCCUGAUGCAGCAACGCCGCGUGAGUGAAGAAGUAUUUCGGUAUGUAAAGCUCUAUCAGCAGGGAAGAAAAUGACGGUACCUGACUAAGAAGCCCCGGCUAACUACGUG